AUCCUGUACACAUAUCCCUUGUAUCUGACCCUGGGGCCCCUCAGAUCAACUCUGCUAUGGAUAAGACCCAGCUGGAUUCUAGAAAUGGAAAGACAGAGUGCCUGUGGUGACCUGACCCAGAUCCCAUUGAGACAGGAUUUGGGAACUGAGCCGGAGAGUAGCUACACCUUCUAUUGGACAAUCUCUAUGGAGUAUGUAUUCAGAUGCAUCUUCAAAUCUUAGCAGUAGAAAGCUGUGUUGUCACCUAUAAGAUAAGAAAAUAGCAUAGCUGAAAAGACAAGACGCCCUGGGAGAAAGAAAGAAGACUAUUAAAAAGGUGAAUGAGUAUCUGCAAAUGGGACAGAUCAGAUCAUAACCUUGUGAACUUCAAAAGAUGGAAAAAGCCAUCAGAGGUCCAGUAAAUGUAAUUGGUAGCAGAGACUGAUGAUAGCAGCUGAGUUUGGUAAGGAGUCAGCUCUGAGGAGUGAAGUCUUCGACCCAGCCCAGCAAGGAACUGAGCCAUCAGCUGUGCCACAGCCAGAAAUGAACUCCCUGAGGACUCUGAGAAAGGGGAAAAGGACUUCCAUGGUCACCCCACCCCCAACCCCAGGUUGGAACAGGGAAUGUUUUGUAGAACUCACUGUAAGUUUGAAUCCACUCUCCUCAGGAACUGUGUGGGUGUAUAGAAAAGUGUACCCCUUGGGUUUUGUUCUUUGAUCCUUGCUAUACCUUCUCACUAAAUAUCCCUUUGU